UCCGAGUUGUCCCCGGCAGUCUCCUACGAGUCCCCACCAUUACGUGCUGGCAACAUAGGACGAGGGUUGCGCUCGUUGCGGGACUUAACCCAACAUCUCACGACACGAGCUGACGACAACCAUGCACCACCUGUGCAGGACCCUUGCGGACCUCCCAUCUCUGGGAGAUUUCCCUGCACGUCAAGCCCUGGUAAGGUUCUUCGCGUCGCAUCGAAUUAAACCACAUGCUCCGCCGCUUGUGCGGGUCCCCGUCAAUUCCUUUGAGUUUUAGCCUUGCGGCCGUACUCCCCAGGCGGAGUGCUUAAUGCGUUAGCUGCGGCACAGAGAGGGUUGAAGACCUCCCCACACCUAGCACUCAACGUUUACGGCUGGGACUAC
rnacentral:misc_RNA from 1 species